GCCAAGCUGACACUUAGCGAGCAAGUACGGACCUCUCCUCGCAGGCUCCGGUGGGAAAGGCUCCUGGAAGGGCGCGAGCCAGGAAAGUAGAUGAAGUGAAGAGAUGAAGACUGCGUGGGGUAGUUGUUGGAAAAGCUCGGAUCAUCCCCAACCCAGCCCCGUCUUGUCCGGCCCCAAAAGGCCCAUCUCGGCCGAGCUACUCACACUUUGUACGGCAGCCGUGGGUCCGACGUCAGCGUGAUCUUAAAGGAAACCUUCGACCUGAGGAAAAGAGCGGGAGAGAGUCAGGGUCGGGCAGCUGGACCAGGAAUUAUGGCAGUCGAUUGAUGUCAGAGUGGGAUUCAAAGUAGAACUUCAGUGACUCCAAGGAGCACCAAGUCACCAAAAGUUGGCCUUCUGUAUCCAUGAGUUCCAUAUGAGUGGAUUCAACCAACUGUAGAUUGCCAAAAGAUAAAAACAAGCAAGAAAGCAAACAAAUAAAAGUAACAACAAAAUUUAAGAACCCCUUGCAUGGAAGGAUGCUUAUUUCCUCUGGACUGAAAGAUGGCAUCAGAAGUGGGAUCUAAAGUAAAGCUUCUAACAAUCCCCAUGAGCACUGAGUGACCAAGCAAGGUACACGCCAGGCCUGUUCUGUCUGUUGCUCUCACAGAGGAGCUGGGGAUCGUGGAGGUUCAUGACAGGAUGAAAAGAAACCUGAGAAGCACUCUUGAAGAGAGGUUUCUGAAUAACUUUCGAAUCAUAUCAUUUGGACUGGAUGACAGAAACUUCAUCUGCAUUGGCUUCGGCAAAGCAGAAAUUUAUUAGCUUACAAGGGAGAGUGGAUUGUCAUUGAGACAUAUGUUCUGCUUACGUGGAGAGUAACUUGAGCAACGUUACCCACCUCUAUGUGGAAACACAGGUUUAUUUAGUAUGUUGAAAUUCCAGACAUAACUAUCUGUUCAGUAGCAGUGGUUCCUAUAAGACAACAACUUCACUGUUCAUUUUGUGCUAGUAGAAUGGAACUUCACGGACCUUGGAGAAGCAUACUCCAAACACUACAAAUGAUGGUUAUACUUUGGAGAGAUGCUAAGACAGCAGAUGCUAAAAUCCAGAUACCUUUUGUGAAUAUGAGGCAUAUCUACUGGGAACACAUCAUAAUAAUCUGUUGAGGUAAACAUUAAAGAUGGUGGCAAUAAGCAGUUGGAGAAAAAGAAAAAUAUCAACAUGCAAGGCACCAUUGUUUUCUUGCUUCUUAAUUGUAACUUUUUAUUUUUUGUGUAUAUGGCUAUCACAGAGAUUUAAAAA
rnacentral:lncRNA from 1 species